rnacentral:rRNA from 1 species
UACGUAGGGUGCGAGCGUUAAUCGGAAUUACUGGGCGUAAAGCGCAUGCAGGCGGUCUGUCAAGUCGGAUGUGAAAUCCCCGGGCUCAACCUGGGAACUGCAUUCGAAACUGGCAGGCUAGAGUCUUGUAGAGGGGGGUAGAAUUCCAGGUGUAGCGGUGAAAUGCGUAGAGAUCUGGAGGAAUACCGGUGGCGAAGGCGGCCCCCUGGACAAAGACUGACGCUCAGGUGCGAAAGCGUGGGGAGCAAACAGG